GGGGAUCUAGCUCAAAUGGUAGAGCGCUCCGUUUGCAACGGAGAGGUACAGGGAUCGACGCCCUGGUUCUCCA
rfam:Intoshia linei isolate Intl2013 Contig_22414, whole genome shotgun sequence.